rnacentral:rRNA from 1 species
AUGCCACCGGAUAGAGAUAUUGAGUUUUUGAUUGAGCUAUUGCCAGGCACAGGGCCAAUAUCAAAGAGACCAUAUAGGAUGCCAGCAAAGGAUUUGGUGGAAAUUAAGAAGCAGAUUAAGGAGUUACUGGAUAAGGGAUAUAUUCGCCCAAGUUCUUCACCUUGGGGAUCGCCGGUACUUCUAGUGGAGAAGAAGGAUGGAUCGUUAAGGAUGGUUGUUGAUUAUCGAGGAUUGAAUGAAGUAACGAUCAAGAACAAGUACCCACUACCAAUGAUCAACAAUCUGUUUGAUCGAUUGCAAGGAGCUAAGGUAUUUUCCAAGAUCGAUCUGCGAUCAGGAUACCACCAGUUGAAGAUUCGAGAACAGGAUAUUCCGAAGAUAGCUUUUACUACCAGGUAUGGGCUGUAUGAGUAUACCGUUAUGUCAUUUGGUCUGACUAACGCACCUGCCUAUUUUAUGAACAUGAUGAACAAAGUGUUUAUGGAGUUCUUGGAUAAGUUCGUCGUAGUGUUCAUUGAUGAUAUCCUGGUGUAUUCGAAGAAUGAAGAGGAGUAUAAGGAGCAUUUGCGUUUGGUACUUGGAAAGCUCAGAGAA